AUGAUUUUUGCCAAUCCAGACAAGGAGGAAACUGAAAGGCUUCUGGAUAUUCUAAACCUAUUUGGCGAGGCCUUAGGACUGUGUUUGAACCCUGCAAAAUCAACGGUCGCACCAAUCAUAUGCGAAGACAUAAACCUCCAAGAUGUUCUGCAAAAUUUUGGAGGUAAAAUCAAAGCAUUCCCCAUAAGAUACCUCGGCCUCCCAAUCUGCCUUAAUAGGAUCAGGCUUGUGCGCCUGCAAUUUAUCCUGGAUAGCAGAGCAAGACUGGCUGGUUGGAAAGGGAGGUUAUUGUCCAUUGUCGGCCAUAGGGUUCUAGUGUGUGGUGUUUUCAUUGCUAUUACAACCUUUGCUCUGUCGGUUCUGAGUGCACCCAAAAAAUUAUUCAGAGACAUCGACAAAGUUCGCCGAUGA
rnacentral:rRNA from 1 species